UGCUUUACACAUGCAAGUCGAACGGCAGCACGGGGGCAACCCUGGUGGCGAGUGGCGAACGGGUGAGUAAUACAUCGGAACGUGCCCAGUCGUGGGGGAUAACGUAGCGAAAGUUACGCUAAUACCGCAUACGAUCUACGGAUGAAAGCGGGGGACCGUAAGGCCUCGCGCGAUUGGAGCGGCCGAUGUCAGAUUAGGUAGUUGGUGAGGUAAAGGCUCACCAAGCCGACGAUCUGUAGCUGGUCUGAGAGGACGACCAGCCACACUGGGACUGAGACACGGCCCAGACUCCUACGGGAGGCAGCAGUGGGGAAUUUUGGACAAUGGGCGCAAGCCUGAUCCAGCCAUUCCGCGUGCAGGACGAAGGCCUUCGGGUUGUAAACUGC
rnacentral:rRNA from 1 species